AUCACCCUACGGGGCGCAGCAGUGGGGAAUAUUGGGCAAUGGGCGCAAGCCUGACCCAGCAACGCCGCGUGAAGGAAGAAGGCUUUCGGGUUGUAAACUUCUUUUAAGGGGGAAGAGCAGAAGACGGUACCCCUUGAAUAAGCCACGGCUAACUACGUGCCAGCAGCCGCGGUAAUACGUAGGUGGCAAGCGUUGUCCGGAUUUACUGGGUGUAAAGGGCGUGCAGCCGGAGAGACAAGUCAGAUGUGAAAUCCACGGGCUCAACCCGUGAACUGCAUUUGAAACUGUUGCCCUUGAGUGUCGGG
rnacentral:rRNA from 1 species